GGGAGGGACGCAUCCGGUGCAUUCUCGAGAUCCAGUUGCCGGCACCUGGAAUCUGCUUGCGCGAGGCAGUGGCGGCACCGACGGCCCGAGGUUCCCGGUCACCAGGUUGCGGAGGAUCGUGCGGGUAGCAAAAGGAAGGCGAGUGCUCCUGCGGCCCCAGACAGCAACCAGAACAUGCAUCAUUGUUAGAACCAUCACCCUGCAGCUAGCUUGGACACCAUUAAAAGGGCUCAUCAGCUGCAAACGGAUAGAAGUAUCUGAUAUCGUGAAGACAGUUUCAGGGCUUCUCCUUGGAGCUACAUUCUCCAGAAGCCUCUGCUUGGCCUCCCUGCACCCAGCCCCACCCCAUCCAGUCACAACUUGGGUCGUGUGUGGUAUUUCUUGGCAACUGGAACACAGACUUCUCCAGCAGCUCCACGGGCCCCUUGUCCUCAGUGAGCAGAAGACUACAGAAGCUGGCUACUGAAGAGGCUGUCCAAGUCUUAGAGCUCCUCAUUGGCCCCGCUUAGCGCAGUGCUAUAACUGAGUGCUGGAUGUUAGUCAUUCAUGCUCACCACCUUUAGGGACUGCAAAGGGAUUUGUCAGACCCCAUUUCACUAAGGGCCACCCUCUAAGGAUCUCAACAGGAGGCUGCCCAUAGAGAGAAGUGGCCUGCCUAGGGUCUCCACUGCCUUAGGUCCUGUGUGGACACUCCAGGUCUAAGGGGAUUAGUAUUUUUUCACCUACCUGUCAUCCACUUAUCAACUGGGAAAUUGUCUCCUGUUAUUUUUUGUUCUUGUGUUUGUUUUUUAGUAGAAAAAGUUGUAUCUAUUGCUUCAUUUAAUACAGGACUAGUCAGGAUUUCUUUUUUGUCUUGAAUCAAUUCUGCUAAGUUAUAGUUUUCUGGGAAUUGGUCCAUUUUGUCUGCCUUCUCAAGUUUACUGGCAUAAAGUUUCCUUAUUUUUUUAUUUUCUGCUGUAUACAAUCUGUAGUUAUGUCUCCUUUUUCAUUGCUAAUAUUGGUAAUUUGUGCCUUCUCACUUUUUUUCUUGAUCAAUCUCACCAGAGGUUUGUCUAUUUUAUUAGUCUUUUCAAAGAACCAGCUUUUGGCUUUGUUGCUUCUCUCUAUUUUGUCUUUGUUUUCUAUUUCUUUAAUUUCUGCUCUUAUCUUUUUUGAUCUCCUUCCUUCCACAUUUUUUGGAUUUAUUUUGUUGUUAUUUUUCUAAUUUCUUAAAUUUGACACUGAGCUCAUUAAUUUUCAGCCUUUCUUGUUUUCUUAUUUGCACAUUUAAGGACAUAACUUUCCUUCUAACUACUGCUUUUCUACAGGUUCAAACAUGUCAUAUUUUGUUACUGUUUGGUUCCAAGUACUUCAGCAUUUCCAUCAUGGUUACUUCUUUGACUUGCGAGUUAUAUAGAAGUGUGUUUCUAAAUAUUUGGAGAUUUUAAAAUUUAUCUCUGUGUUACUGAAGUCUGUCUUAAUUGCAUUAUAGUCAGAGGAUGUGAUCUGUGUGAUUAAAAACUGAUAUUUAUUGAGACUUGUUUUAUGGCUUAUUAGUGAUCAAUAUUUUUGAAUGUCUCCUAUGUGCUUUAUAAGACUGUAUGUUCUCUAAUUGUUGAAUACAGAGUUCUAUAUAAGUCUGUUAUCAAAUUUGUUCAUUGUAUUGUUCACAUUUUCUAUAUAUAAACUGAAUUUUGGAUAAUAAUAUACCAAUAAUUGUAAGGUAUAUUAAUAUGCAGUUAUGAUGGUGAUUUGUUUA
rnacentral:lncRNA from 1 species